ACUCCUACGGGAGGCAGCAGUGGGGAAUAUUGGACAAUGGGCGCAAGCCUGAUCCAGCCAUGCCGCGUGAGUGAUGAAGGCCCUAGGGUUGUAAAGCUCUUUCACCGGUGAAGAUAAUGACGGUAACCGGAGAAGAAGCCCCGGCUAACUUCGUGCCAGCAGCCGCGGUAAUACGAAGGGGGCUAGCGUUGUUCGGAUUUACUGGGCGUAAAGCGCACGUAGGCGGACUAUUAAGUCAGGGGUGAAAUCCCGGGGCUCAACCCCGGAACUGCCUUUGAUACUGGUAGUCUUGAGUUCGAGAGAGGUGAGUGGAAUUCCGAGUGUAGAGGUGAAAUUCGUAGAUAUUCGGAGGAACACCAGUGGCGAAGGCGGCUCACUGGCUCGAUACUGACGCUGAGGUGCGAAAGCGUGGGGAGAAAACAGGAUUAGAAACCCUGGUAGUCCCAUGA
rnacentral:rRNA from 1 species